GCUCGGCUCGGGCUGCGGGCUGCUCGCCUUCCUCUCGUUCCGAGGGCCGCCUCACCUCCCAUAAGGACAACACGCGGCCGCGGUACAGCCCUGAGAAUGAAGCCACAGUGCGGGGGGGUCCCAUCGGGAUUCAAUUCUGCCUGAGCGACAGAAGGCAAAUCUGCAGAUAAAUUCGUGCAAUGUGUUGCACAGCUGCAGGAGGUAAAAGCAGCUGAGGAAAACUGAAAAACAACGACUGAAACAAACUCCCUCUUAUUAUGCAAUCUUCUUUCCAAACCUUCUGUUUACUUUAACGUGCUUUUCUAGGAUAUAAAAUCAGUAGAACAUUUAAAAAAUCAUUUCUUUUAAAAUUUCUGGCUCCUCCUGCAGAGUUCCACGGCCUUCUGGACAUGCUGUUCUGCUGCAUACUGCUCAGUGGUGGAAGUGGAAAGGACUAUUGGCUCCCAGUAAGACUAUCUUGUGCCCAGUGUGUGUUAUUAAAGACUACAGCAGAGCUGCCUUUCAGAGGCCAUUUUGCUAAGCGUUCUGGAGUAAGAGCUCCCUGCCUGCCUCUUUGAAGUCCAUUGUACUUUUGAUGUUGCCUUCAUCAGUGGUAGGAUGAAGCCUUAACGUUGCCUAAAUAUGGGAUAGGGCCAAUCUUUUUGUGAAUCAGUGCAGCUAUGGGUGAGUCAAUCAGCUAUUUGGUGCAUCAUCUCCUCCUAUAUAAGGUAUACAUUAAAGCAAAUGUCAUCCCAGGCGCAAGCCUAGGAAAUUCCUGAGGCAGGAGGCUAACAAGUUCACUGAGUGCAGUUAACUCUCUCUUUCGUUCUUCGUGCCCCUUUGUACCCAUCUUGUCCUACAAGUAAGGAGUGCUAUGGGAAUGAAUUCUCCAGUGCUUGCAGAAAAUCAGACCCUGUGCCAUUGAGGAAGUGCAGGUGUUUAUCGAAAUGAAAACAAGUUUUGCAAAUCUUGUACAAUAUGGAAGCAAAAUACCACGCAAAGCUCGACAAACUGGAACAUUUCCUCCAGCAACCAGAGGUCCCUGUUCAUGUAAUGUGCAGAACUGAGUCGCUUCACCGCGGACCUGUGGGCCAGCAGUCCUCUAUAAAUGUAAUCUACUGCAUAUUAUCCAUUCAGCUCUUUGCGAUGAGAGGACCUUCCUGAGGCAGAGUGGUGGUCCGGAGGCUUAGCCUCCCCAUUGCAUGGCUGUGGUGGCACAGAAAGCUCUGAGAUCUGAGGGUUUAUCAUUCUGUGGACGGGGGACUUGGGAGAUGGACUUCAUAGGCUGCUCUAAGAAUAGAAAGGAUGGUGGAAUUGUUCUGAGUCACAGUCAUUAACAGGGCAGACUCUGCUUAUAAUUUAGCUGUGAUUGCUUUGGUAAUGUUGUAAAUUUGCAUAAUUAGUCUCUCAUUACUCAUGAGAAACAUAACUAAUAUGCAGCAAUCUUCUUUAGCCUGUGGCUUAAAAGCAGGAUAGAGAAAUAGCAUAGCAAACAGUUUCUUUGAUGUUCGCAUCUCCCUGGCUCCUUAGGACAGAGUGCCCUAUACAGCCCUUUCUCUCACCUGUACUGGUCCCCCGAUGUGACUGGAAAAUUGCAUUUCUGCUCUUUUCUGAAUCCCCGGGAAAUACUGGUUUACUUUAUAGGGUAAGCAGGUUGAAAAACUCAAACACAGCUAGUAAACUUGCGAACUUUGGACUCACUUUUCUAUGUCCCUAACGUUCUAGCUGGCAUUGGCCUUAGUUAAAGCAGAGUGUAAAACAAUAUUUUGUGUGUGUGUGUGUGUAUGGGUGUGUAUAUAUAUAUGUAUGUGUAUAUAUAUAUGGGUGUAUAUAUAUAUGUGUGUGUAUAUAUAUAUAUAUAUACACCCACACACAUACAUCUAUAUAUAUCUAUAUCUAUCUAUCUAUAUAUAUAUAUAUAUAUAUGAUGGUUGCGUUCAACUGAUCUGUGAUGCUUCCUUUACCUUCUGAUUUAGUUUUUUUCAGAGGCUUUUGUCUAGUCUACUCUUGAUGCAUCUUGUGGUUGCUUACAAAGAUGCUUCAUCAUCUUCCUGCUGGUUUGUCAUUAAUGUUCCUCUUCUGCGAUGCCUCCCCCAAGGAGCAGAGCAAAGUCAGUACGCUGAUACGAUUUGCUGUUGCACUGAUUAUCUGAUUAUUUUCUUAUAUUGCCCCUCUUUAUCCUUCUGCCAUGUUGUAUAUCACAGUUGCUUGAGAAACUCUUUGACUCAAACACAUCUAGAUUUGAUUGUACAGCAUCUGGAAGAAUAACAUCUGAGUUCACAUUCACUCUACUAUACCACUGCUAAUAAAGAAUUACAGGAUUUGCCUGUCACUCGCUUUGUUUUUGUUUUUUUAAUUGAAAGUCACUCCAGUGUGCUGUGAAACAGUGUUCAAGAGCCAUUCACUUCAUACCAGCUCUCAGCAUCUCUCAGCAUCGGUGCUGACUUGAACACGUUCAGGUGGGAUCACUGCUGAAACUCCUGAUGCUCUCACAACUGCUCCCAGCCAGAAAGCUGCCACUGCCUGUGGUUUUUCAGAACUGCUCGUCCUGCUCAGUGCUGUAACUUGCAAACACUGCCCUUCUUUGAAGCCUGGCUUAAUAUCUGACCUGCUCUGUAGCUUUUUGUCAUCGUUUAAUGAAAGCCCCGACUGAGAGGAUCAUAGUCAUAAACCCCUCAGGAAUUCAGUUUUAUUAAGCAAUUUUCUCAGUCUUAGCAGAAUUAUAUGGCACAUGUUAAUUAGUCCUUAUAACAACUGCUUUCUAGAGGGGGCACCAUGAAUCUAUCACUGCCCUCACAAGGAAGUCAGAUCUCAUUUGAAUCAGUCUUCAUAACUCCUGGUCUUGUGCUCAAGGUGUUACCGAUGAAGUGUGUUCACGUGAGUGACUACAUCGCCUGUUUCAUCUUCCAGCAAAGAAAAUUCCUUUGGAAAGCAUCGAGACCAAAGUGCUCGUGAUUUCAUGAGUUUGUUGCCCGAGAGCAGCAGGGCUGGGCCUAACUGCGGUAAAAUGCCAUCCUGUUAUUUUCAACAUGAAACAAGCAGUCAGAAGCUUGCACGCUUGACUGAACUUCCUGAUGUUAACGCUGCUAACCAAGAACUGGGCUUCUGCUUUGUACGUCUCACUGAUCUUCACCAAAAGCUGUCUCUGCAGAGGAGAGGUGUAGGCGAAGUGGCUGAGAGAAGGAAGGAACACAAGUAGUUCUGUGUACAAAACAUUCCUCCUACGCAAAUGGUGCUCUGGGGGUGGCUGCUAUUUUUAGACCCAUUGAAAAGCCACAGUCCAAAAAUAAUAAAAGAAGUGUUACUACGAAUAAUAAA